AGACGCGCGGUUAGCAACGAGCUAAACUGUACAGCAGUGCCUGUUUGAAAGAUGGCGCCACGUUCUCCGAGGACAAUCGAACAAGAGGCUGCUGCGGACACUAGGUGGCGCCACUCACCGGCUCGACCUCGGCGGUGCCUCCGGCAGAACGCGCGAAGAGGAAACCAAACGAGAAACGGGAGACGAGAGUCUUAUGUCAGUAGAUGAUGGAGAGGCUGUGCGGAUGAGGAGGCUGUGCAGAUGAGGAUGCAGAGGAAGGCUUCAGAUUUCCUCAGCUUUCUUUCUUCUUCGUGUGACUUGUACCACGUAGCCAGCUGCAAGUAGUGGUGAAACCUACUGGGUUGAGUUAAAACUAUAGUUGGCUAAGGCUCAGGUGGCCUUACUACAUGU